rnacentral:lncRNA from 1 species
GUUAGUCGGACAACGCACGUCCACAAGGGGCGAGUUAGUCGGACAACGCACGUCCACAAGGGGCGAGUUAGUCGGACAACGCACGUCCACAAGGGGCGAGUUAGUCGGACAACGCACGUCCACAAGGGGCAAGUUAGUCGGACAACGCACGUCCACAAGGGGCGAGUUAGUCGGACAACGCACGUCCACAAGGGGUGAGUUAGUCGGACAACGCUACAACAUACGUCUUCAGGGGGUGAGUUAGUCGGACAACGCUACAACAUACGUCUUCAGGGGGUGAGUUAGUCGGACAACGCUACAACAUACGUCUACAAGGGGUGAGUUAGUCGGACAACGCACGUCCACAAGGGGUGAGUUAGUCGGCCAAUGCUACAACAUACGUCCACAAGGGGUGAGUUAGUCAGACAACGCUACAACAUACGUCCACAAGGGGCGAAUUAGUCGGACAACGCUACAACAUACGUCUUCAGGGGGUGAGUUAGUCGGACAACGAUACAACAUACGUCCACAAGGGGUGAGUUAGUCGGACAACGCAGGUCCACAAGGGGUGAGUUAGUCGGACAAUGCUACAACAUACGUCCACAAGGGGUGAGUUAGUCGGAGAACGCUACAACAUAC